CGACGCGUCUUUGGGGAGUAGCCCGCCCGGCCGCGCAAUGCGCCGGGGGCAUGCGUCAACACACUUGGGCUCUGUGAGCCUAUGGCGUAUGCGGUUUUUGAGCUGGGCGAGACCAUUGACUGCACGCCGAUCCCAAUGGCCGGAGUCGGUGCGCAGUCAAUGCGUUUUCCACCCAUCCGGCCGGACA
rnacentral:sRNA from 2 species